rnacentral:rRNA from 1 species
UACGUAGGGUGCGAGCGUUGUCCGGAAUUACUGGGCGUAAAGAGCUCGUAGGUGGUUUGUCGCGUUGUUCGUGAAAACUCACAGCUCAACUGUGGGCGUGCGGGCGAUACGGGCAGACUGGAGUACUGCAGGGGAGACUGGAAUUCCUGGUGUAGCGGUGGAAUGCGCAGAUAUCAGGAGGAACACCGGUGGCGAAGGCGGGUCUCUGGGCAGUAACUGACGCUGGAGGAGCGAAAGCGUGGGAGCGAACAGG